CACACCACACUCGAAAACUACCAAUAGGCAGGCUUCUCUGGCAUUCAAAUGGUAACUAACUUGAUUUUUUUUCUUCUGCACCCACCGAGAGGCUGUGCGACUGUAGCACCAGCUCCAUAAAAGCAGAUGGACGCCCGACCUGAGAUCUGCUCAAGACCACAAUAUGAGAGACACCACUAGAAAUAUCACACCAGCUAAGCAACACGACUCCACCAGCACAAAACAGCACCACUGAGACGCAGGGAUGAAUGAGAUGGAGGAGAGGUCAGAGGUCAUGUGAUGGUCGACGACACUUGAAGACGCAGCGAGUUCAUGAAAACAGAUGAGCUGCUGAUGACAGCACAGCCAAACAGCAGGUUUUCGUUUUUCAACAAAGGCUUUGGCAUACGAGUUCUAAAGCAUUCACAUUUCUCUCAUCUGAGCAGCUUCUAAGGUCUUCCAGUGUGGCCUGAGCUUUGUCUUUAAGCUGGUCGACGUCUAGAUUCUGGAUGUUGGACAGCUGGCCCAGCACCGACUGCUUGUGCGCCUCCUCCUGGCCAUCCUCAGCGAUCAUCUUGGCCAGCUCUGUGGGCAACACCACGUCGUCCCCCGCCUGCUGGAUCUGGGUCUCAUCCAGCUCAUUCUGAUGCAAGCACGUCCAUGAAGACACACCCAACAGGACAGGAGAGAGGGCAACAAACUCAGAACCAAAGUCUAAAUCUGACCGUACUUUACAGAAAGAUUGUCAGCUGUAAGCAUGGUGGUUUUACACAUGCAGUUUUCUUGUCGCUCAGUUAUCUACUUAAGCAAAGUUUGAUUAGAUUACCUUUGGUAGUCUGUACUUAUCCCGGAAGUGACUUCUCACUGUGGCUCUCUCAGCUUUCUUCUGGGCAAAAUCGGCUUCUCGUUCCUGUCUGCAAGAAAAGGAGGAAAAGUUUUCUCAGUGCCACUGAAUGUAUGAAUUUAGAUCAUACCGAGUUAAAGCAAAAUCCAGCAAGGAAAGGAAAGAUCCAUUGUCAGCCCUGAAGCAUUGGAGAACCAAUGCCAAUGCCACAGCUCACACAUUGUAGAGUGAAUUGAACCCAUCUAAUAAAUCACACCACACAUUUUAUCUCAGCAUUUAGUAAACCAACAUUUAUGAUUGCCACAUGGAGAUGGAAGUCUCCUUUACCAGGAUAAUUUGAACCUUGGAGGCCUUGGAGCUUAGCAUUGCCUCCCCUUUAUGCUAACUACACAGUGUGGAGCCAGCAGAAGGUGGAGCAGCAGCAGCAGCAAUGCCGAAGGGGGAAAUGAAGCAGGAAGAGAUGCCCUGCCUAUGCUGAACAGCCCCAUAUGCAGCUUCCUGCUUGUUCUGCACUCUGUGAGGUAAUUUUCUCUCUUGGGAUACUAGAGGUAACCUACUAAUUGCAGUCAGAACAACACUCCCACUCUCACAUCCGUCAACCCAUCCAAUAUAUCCUGGUUUUAACUCCAUUUAGCUGUGCAGCAUUGCAGUUUGCCUCUAUAGCUGCCCUGGAAUAUCUGAAUUCCAGGGAAGAUUUCAUCUCUUAGGACUGAAAACGUUCAUAAAAGCUGCACUUAGCUAGACUGUUGUCCCAAGUGGCAGAUCAUGUCUUCCAGCUACAAUUGACUCGCACUGU